AAUUUCUACAGCUACAGUUAGGCAACCAGGGAGGAAUGCGCCAGGAUAUGCCCCCUUUUUGACUGGUGAUGCAAGGGCAGAAAUAAUUCUUCAUACAUAUUUUUUUCAAAAAAAAACAAAUAUGGCUUGUGUAGCUGAACAGGGAGCAUAUUGUUUGGUGAUAACAGUAUUAAUGUUUUUGAAAACUGUUAAUGGUGAUGCACAGACGACAGUAUCUUGUGAAUCUAAUACUAAUAUAGGACAGCCACAAACUCUAACAUGUAAUGUAAACGGUCCUGUAACAAAUGAUAUAUAUUGGUUUCGGGAUGAUGAAACUAAUCCUGUUGAUGUAAUUAAUUGUUUUAAAACAACAGGAGGAGAUGUUGGUACAUGUAUAUCUACAAACUCUUCACUUUAUAGUGUCAGUAGUCAACCCCAACAACCAAAACAGCAAGUGUUUACCAUUAUUAAGGUAUCAGCAGAAGAUUUUCAAGUAUCAUGGUUAUGUGUAGAUAGAACUUCUUUUCCAGAUCGAGCUUCAAUCCAGGUUGAGUCAAAAUGUAGUUUAAAACAAGGGUCUGAUUCUGCAUGCAGCAAUUGUUCCUGCAGUUUGAUAGGUGGUCUGGCGUUUAUCUGUGAUUUUGUUUUUGGUUUGGCUGCAUCCACAUUGAUAACAUUUGUUAUUGAAACAGGUCUGAGUACCCCAUUAAAGAUUGGAGUCUUUGUUGUUCCUGCUGUUGCUUCUGGAAUUCUUGGUGGUGGAUCAUAUGGAGCUUGUCUUGUUCUGGUAUCAAUUGGUGGUAUAGUUGGUAUCAAUAUUGCUUGUAUGUUGGUUGUAGUUGCAGGAACAUAUGUAGUUGUUAAAUUCUUUUGUAAAUAAUCUAAAAUGACUGAAAGAUCAAGUGCAUAUAUUCCAAUGAUGAAGAAAUUAAAGACCUACACCAGAAUAAUUCACAUUUAGACAAACUGUCAUUAUUUAAUUAUAGUUGAGUUCGCAUAUUCCAGAAAAAAGAAAAUUUGAAAUAAAAUCCAAAAGUUAAUUUAUUUUAAUAACAAAUUUUUUCUGGGAGUUUUACAAUAUUUAACCCAAACUGUAUAAACAAAAAUAAAAAAAUACAUUUACAUGAUUUAGUUUAAUUACUCUCUAUUUAGAAGAAAAAACAAUUUCCCAAUUAAUCCUGUCUGUUUGGUUGGAUGAGUAUCAGACAUAUUAUUUUAAACUUUGAAUUUUAAUUCAACAUUUUCUUUUUACUGGAAUUUUAAAUUAUUAUAAAACAACUCUACAGACCUACAGCAGAAUUAAUUCUUAUAUUUACAGUAAGUUACAAUACAGUACAGACUUGAAUGAUUGAACAGUUCAUUGGCUAUCAUCACAAGAUCAUGGUUGCUGUACAUGUCAUGUCUUUUUCAACUAUACUAUAUGUUAAUAGGUUGGUCUUUAAACUGUCUAUAUGUUGUCUGCACUAAAUUUUAUUUUUUGAUCUUCAGAGAAACCGGUUAAAAUGUUGCUUCAGAAAAAACAAAUUUACAAGCAAAAAAUCUUUGGUUGCUCUUCUCAAAACCUUUCAAUUCCAAAUUGUGGAUGAUAUUCCCCUGGAUAUUUUAUCAGAAGAACAAAAAAUGAAAUUACCAUGACCACAGCCUACAUGUAUGUGUAUGUAUUUAUAUUUGUUUGAUAAGUAAUUGCUUUAUUAAAUCCUAGCACCUACCAUCUUUCGUCCAUAAAAAUGUAUUUUAUAAGUAAGCCUGUAAAGUGAAACACAUUCAACAAUUAAAAUUAUUUUUUAAUGUUUUAAUCAAUAAUCUUUAUGAUGACAUUUGUUAAUUUGUGCCUUUUUUCACAUUUUUAUGUAGAAAAUAUUCUUGUUAAUUGAUUCCACCCUAUAGUGUAAUUCUUGAGUGUCAUUUAGUGAUUAAGCACAUUAAAACACAACACAAUUUAUAUGGAAUACAAUCACUGGUUUAUACACAUAUUAUAGCACGAGGUUUUGACAAGUAUUCUCUUAUCGUUAUCAAGUACAAAUUAUAAGAGAAUACAUGUAAAAAUGUCGUACUUUUUGUGUAUAAACCAGUGAUUGUAUUCCAUAUAAAUAGUGUUGUUUUUUCACCCUAUAGUGGUUUGAGGUUAUUUUGAUUAGUUUUGCUUUGUUAAAUUUUUAAGAAAUAAGAAUAUUUAAUUCUGAGUGAUUAAUAAUCAACAGAACCUACAAAUAAAGGGAAAAAUAGAAAACCAUCUUUUAAGAGGCAUUAGAACUUUGAUGAUCUUGACAGUUACAUACACCAAGAGUGUAAGCCAACUCAUCCCUGAGAUACAGUGGGCUAAUAAUAUUUGUUAAGAGUCGUAAAUAUUUUAGUCUAGUAGUCGAAGCACCAACCUCUGACUCAGAAAGAAACUGAAAAUGUCAAAAAAAUAAAAUAUAAAGGAAACUCUGAAUCUGGGGAGAAAACUUGAUGGAUCCUCCAAGAUUCCAGUGGAUUGGUUCCCGAAAUGGUCAUGUCCUUAUUUUGCCCCUGUUAGAACCUAAUAAUGUUGUUAAAGAAGUUCAUCCUCUAAGUCAGUGCUAGGAUAUUCAGGGUUAUUACAUCAUAGUAUAUGGUUUGGUUUUUAUUAAAGUCUUUAUAACAAUUGAGUAGAUAUCUUGCCUUUUUCUUGCUUCAAGUUCCAAUAUAUUAACAAGUGAUUAUAAUACCCUCAACCUGCUUCAAGUUUCAAUAUAUUAACAAGUGAUUAUAAUACCCUCAACCUGCUGCAAGUUUCAAUAUAUUAACAAGUGAUUAUAAUACCCUCAACCUGCUGCAAGUUUCAAUAUAUUAACAAGUGAUUAUAAUAACCUCAACCUGCUGCAAGUUUCAAUAUAUUAACAAGUGAUUAUAAUACCCUCAUCCUGCUUCAAGUUUCAAUAUAUUAACAAGUGAUUAUAAUACCCUCAACCUGCUGCAAGUUUCAAUAUAUUAACAAUUGAUUAUAAUACCCUCAACCUGCUGCAAGUUUCAAUAGAUUAACAAUUGAUUAUAAUACCCUCAUCCUGCUUCAAGUUCCAAUAUAUUAACAAUAGAUUAUAAUACCCUCUUCCUGGCGCAAGUUUCAAUAUAUUGUAAUACCAAAUUAAUGUACCCGGUGAUGAUUUUUGAGAGCUCUUAUUCUUCCUCAGUAUUCAGUCAUUGAAAAUAUUUAACAACAUUAUGAAUAAAUUAUAUAUGGAAGCAUGUAUUGUUUUAUUAUAUCAGUCAAAUGAACCAAUUAAAACAUUCAUGCUGAACGCUCGAUUUUCUUUCAUAUUAUUGUGCCAUAUGUAUAUAUAUGUAUAUAUUGAUUGUCAACUUUUUAUAAUCAUAUAUAACAUGAUCUAAAAAUAAUAAUAUUUUUCUUAUUCUUGUAAAAUUACAACUUGCCAUUUGUUUGAUUAUUAUUAGUUAUUUUUAUUCUUAAUGAGAUAAAAAAAAAAACAGAUUAAAAGAAAAAUAAUUUACAUAGGUAACCUUGCAGAAUUGUUUUUAUUUGCUGAAAUUGUAUACUCCACACUGCAGCAUGAUAAUUUACUAUAGUGUGUGUAGAUUUUAUACUGUUAUGUUGGAUUCUCUGAGAUUAUUGGAAAUAUCAGUGAUUUAUCAAGAAAUCUAAAUUUUACAUUUCUGUAAUCUUUUGAUUAAUCAUUUUAUGUUCAGUUUAAAUAAUAGUUUUAUUUCGUAUAAUAUAAAUGAGUAUACAUUAUGACAUUUUAAUUAAUAACAAAAGUAAUUCACAUUAUAUAUUUAUAAUUACAGUCUAAACCUUAUUCAUUACACACUACCCAGUGUAUAACUUUACAGUAUGAUCUAUCUAUGAAAUCUGUAAACUUGUCUGUUCUUUAUGACAAUUAUAGCCUGGUUUAUAUUAUAUGAUGGGAAUAUGGUGUCGGUGUAAAAUGUAUUAUUUUUAAAAUCUUGUUUUUAAGCUAAUAAAAUUUUAAGUUAUGUCCAUCUGAGAACUAAUUGGUUAUUUUUAACAUUCAGUUUUUCAUUCACCCUUCUCAUUAUAAUCAUCCACUGUCUAUGUAUCUAGUGUGCUCUCUGUCUAUCUAGUGUGCUCUAUCUGUCUAUCUUGUGUGCUCUGUCUGGCUAUCUUAUGUGCUCUGUCUGUCUCGUGUGCUCUCUGUCCAUCUGGUUUGCUCUGUCUGUAUUGUGUGCUAGCUGAAAUCUAUUACUGUGACUGUGUGCUCUUUGCUAUCAAUAAAUUCAGCGGUUCCAUUUUCACAGGAUACAAGGAAAUAAGAAAUACAUUAAAAAGUAGAUUGAAGGAAAUUGAAGAUUAUUCUAUCAAAGAUAUAUUUUUAAUGCAUAAAUAUUUUAAAUAUUUGGGAGAAUAUAAUAAAUCUGUUAAAGUAUAUUUAUAGUGAUCAUGCAAUGUUAGCUAUGAUCCUCGUCAAUUCCACAUUGCACAAUAAGAUACUACCUCAGAGGUAAAAUGGCACCAAUUGAGAGGCGGACUGCGGGGGCGAGGGCUGGGUAGGUUUAUAGCAUACAAAAUGGGGAACAGUUGAUCAAACCAAGGACACUUAUUGAUUUAAAGGGCAAUCAAGCCUCACCCUCACCCAAACCUACCCCAUGCUAGUUUUCUCCUUGGAUUCGAAUGUUUCCGAUAAUUUCCUGACGAUUUCGUUUUGGGAAAAGUUGAAGGGCGCGUGGCGACCGCUGCACCAGUUAUCUUUUGUCAAGAAAUUUUGUAAACAACAAAAACAAAUAGUUAAAAAAAAAACCUUAGUCAGUCUUUUAUGUGUGCUUGUAUCAUCAGUACAAUCAUCAACUAUUACACCUGUACAUGUGUGCUGUUUAGCUAGCUUGUGUCCUUUAAUAGUUUCAGUCUUUAUUAGCCCAGUCGGUGCAGAAUAGUAGGACGUUAAACACCAUUUCAUCUGUACAACCAACAUGUAUUAAUCCUGUCUAUGUGUUCUACUAUCAUAUGUACAAUCAAUAUCUAAUAUUCCAUGUCUCGUCUAUAUGACUACUGUUUAUUAGUAGUAAUAGUAUAUAUAUAUGUAUAUAUAAUUGUUGAUAAUAUUGUGUGCUCAUCAUUACUAUAUGUAACUCUGUGUGCUGUUAUCACUAUAAACUAAUGUCAUUUCUAUAGUAUGUACGGAUCAUCGCAUAAUUAAAAUAUGUCUCUUUGGUAGAUGUUUCUCACUAGUAUCUAUCACCACCAUAGCAUGCAUAAUUUAUCACCAUGGUAGCAUGCAUAAUUUAUUUCUGAAAUCCAAUUAAAUAAAUGAUAAGGGGUUUGGUUUGGACAUUUAAACAGAAUGAAAAGUUCAUAUUGGAUCAUUUUGUUUGGAUAUUUGGGAUACAAUGUGUUAUUCAGUACCACAAGACGAAUAUGAUCGAAAGAAAAGUGAGUUUAAAGUAAACUACCUAAACAUGUUAGUUUAUGUGAUGUUAAACUGUACAUAGUAUGUACAACAUACCAACCAAUUAUACGGGAAUUUCAGCUGAAUAUAUAAUUUUAUACACUUGAUGAUUUCCUGUUAUUUAUAUUUAUACCAUAUAAUCUACUGUAUCUUAGGUUUUAAUAUUGAUGUAUAAUAAAACCCUUGUAUAUUCCUGUGUGUAAUAUAUCUGUUUUACUGUAUUAUUGAUAUAUAAUAUAACACUAUACUUAUAUCUUCACUCGUAUAUGCAUCACCCUAUUUAUAAGCAUUACUUUUUAUACACCCAUGUGUGAUGUUGUUCGUCACCUUCGACCGUCAUCCUUUCACUAGUUCCUUUCAACAUUCUACAUGUCAGAUUUUAUGACAGAUUUACUUUUUACAAAUUUUUUAGGGAUUGUUUAAUGACAUAUGGACAGCCCCCCGCCCUUUCGCAUAUUGAAAUUGAGAAUCUUCCGAUAGCAAAUGACAGUUGUCUCCGUGUUUAUCCCAAUCAUUUUAGAGGCAACAGGAACCACCAUUCCACUGAAAUUUUGAGACAAGUUAAAUACACCAUUCAUCUAUGUUUUGGCGCUUACAUUCCAUACGUACACAGACUUUUAUUUCUGACGGUCUGUUAAAAACGGGGUGGUCCCUUUAAUGACGAAUUUGCUGCUAGUGGACGUAAUGUAAAAAAGGCCCCGUCCAUGUUUUUCAAUUAAAUUUGAUUUUGAUUUUUCUGUUAAAUUGCUUGUUUAUUUGUUCUUUUACUUGCUUUAAUCUUUUUAAAUGGCUUGGUAAUUUAAUUUUUAAGUAGCCAAUAUAAGGGUGGUGUUUAUUUACUUAAAGUAAUUAAUAUGUAGAAUAUUUUGAAUUGCUCAACGUGAAAAAAUUGAUCAGCUGUAAAUAAUCUCGAAGGUGCACCUGUUUGUAACUUGGGGUCCAAAUAACACUAUUAAAGAUGCAUUAUGUAAGAUUUACAUAAAGUACUCACCUUUCUUGCUUUAAUGGUUCAAACACAGAUAGUGAAAUAUGAAUAUAUUAAAAAUUUUAGUUAUGAGUGUUUGAAGUUUUAUCAAUAGGCCUACAGUUUUGUUAUCAAUAGGCCUACAGUUUUGAUUGCCAAUUAACAUUGCUGCGAUGAUAACAAAAAAAUGUGUUGAUUAUCCAUUUUUUUUAUGCGCCUACAUGAAAAUUUGGUCGUAUAUUGGCGCAAUCUCCAGCCUUUUUUUGUGAACACCCUACAGACUACAUUUAUCAUUCAAUGUGUAUUAAUUUUAAAUUGGUAAAAUAAAGAAGCCUAUUGAAUUUCAGUAAUUUCCCUUAAUUUCUCCCGGAUUUAUGGCCUUUGUUGAAUUUGUUGAACCCUUUGAACGCUCUAACAACAUAUGAUAUCAUCUGAUCUGUAUGAAAUUUAGAUCAGUGAAACGCUUAAGCCUUUUGAAUUUUAGCAAUUUCUGUUUAUUAUGUCUAAAGUUAUGGCCCUUAUUUUACUUCGUUAAACCUUGUGAACGCUCCAAACCGAAAGUUAUCAUCUGAUCUGUAUGGAAUUUAUACAUAUCAUUUACAUUAGUGAAACGCUGAAAACUAUUGAAUUUCAGCAAUUUCCAUUAAUUACGUCUAGAAUUAUGGCCACUGUUUCACUUCGUUGAACCUUGUGAACGCUCUAACGUCAAAAGUUAUCAUCCAAUCUUUAUGAAAUUUAUAUGCAUUAUUUAAAUUAGUGAAAUGAAAAAGUCUAUUGAAUGUCAACAAUUUCUGUAAAUUAGUUUCAGAGUUAGGACCCUUGUUUCAGUUUGUAGAACCUUGUGAAUGCUCUAACAACAAAAUUAUAAUCUUAUCUGUAUAAAAUUGUGUUGUAAAUGUCCCCAAUUAUUUACAAAAGAAUGCAUGUUUGACAAAAUGCAUCUUUAACUGACUCAGAUAAUAAAAUAUCUUUUAAGAACCAGAUAAAACAUGUGGAAACUGUAUUAUUCACAAAUUUUUGUAUUAGUGAGCAGGCAUAUUAUUAUUAUUAUUACAUGUUGUGUAUUAUUGUAUUUAUACCUGGUGAUAUAGCUAUUAAAACUUCUCUCUCUA